CGUACGGAUCUUCUAAACAACAAAUCUUCAAUUUCACUCGUCGCCAGUGCGAAUUGUCUUCUGAUAUUUAUUUUACCAUUAACGACAGUUAUUAUAGCGCUUUAUUAUUCGUGUUAAUCGCAAAUUUACCAUCUAAUUCCUCAAUGAAAUUACGGCAACGCGCAAGACUAUGAAGCAGUCCUUUAUAAGGAGAACAGAUUUGGAACUUUUUACUGUUUACGUGUUACCUUCUUACCAAGUGAUAGUAGUAAGUGCUUUUACAAUUUAAAUCAAAUGAAAGUACGUGUAUGCCCCAAUUUGCCGAGGGGUGGCCGCUAAGCGAUCCCUAAAGGAAAAUUGGCACAAAAUGUACCGGCCAAACCACGCUCUCUUUUCACCCAACAUUGACACCGUUAUUCAGAGUGGUGGUGCGAAUAAAGAAUCUCCCCAUAACAGCAUCCUGAUUAGUCGAUUGAUGAAGCAAGCAUCUCGACCUUUCAGUGAUUACAACAGUCUGUGAUAAGAACAGUCCCUUUGCAAUGGUCUGGAGUUAUUUAAAAGUAAACAUCAGUAUUAAAAAUCGUAUUACUAUUAUAUUAUUUAUUUAUGUAUUUAUUGUUCUUGUUGCUGUAUUGCUACAAAAUGUUUAUGAGUGUUUAAUGUUAAUGAUGUAUAAGUGCG
rnacentral:misc_RNA from 1 species